UAGAAUCCAGUCAGGUUUAGAACAGGCACAAGAAAAGAAAGAAAGGAAGAAACGCAUAUGUAGCAGAUGUGGUGAACUCGGGCAUUAUAGAACUAGCUGUAAAGUUAACUUGCAAAGCUAAACAUAUGCACGGGUGGUGGAUGUGUUGGUUUGUUCACAAAGUCAUAUCUCAUGAUUAAUCGCUACCACUAACACAGGAAAGAGCACAAUCAGCUCAGGUUCAUCCACAACUCUGCCUUGGCCCCUCAAGCAAUCCAUGAGCAGAACUGAUUCAAGUGAUGCGCAUUUUGUA